CAAGUACUCAUAAGAUACCCUUGG
rnacentral:misc_RNA from 1 species